UGGGGUCGUAGUUCAAUCGGUUAGAGCACCGCCCUGUCACGGCGGAAGUUGCGAGUUCGAGCCUCGUCGACCCCGUC
rnacentral:tRNA from 3 species